UUUUGCUGGAGAUCCAUGUGAAUCUGAGGCCUUUUGAAGGUGUGAUCUGAAUUCAGCUGCAUUGAAACCAGUAUGUGCCAGUUACAUUUGCACCAGAGUUUUUUCUCUGCUAGGAGCUGUGGGAAUAAAUCAGGAAUGUAACUUAAGAGCACAUUUGUGACCACAGAAUGCCUUGAAGAUCAGGUGAAAACCUUAAAAUCUGUGGUUAGAGAAUCCUGACUAAGCAACAAGAAGAAAAAGCUGAAUGCCAUCACCGAGAGAGGAAGUUCAUCACUUACUGGAACUCUGCAGCGUAUUUGCUUCAGAGAUUUUUUUUUGUAACAAAGGGCUCAAAGUGCCUGAUCUUAUGUUCCUUUCACAGUGAUUUCAGUGCAAGUUGUGUCUAGGAUGAGUCAGAAAUGUUCCUCUUGAACUACGUCAGGACAUACAGAAAAGGUGUUAAUGCAAAUGAAUGACUGGGCUGUUUUUGAGCAGCCCUGCGGUUAGAAUCCUGAGAAACCCAAAUACCAAGGGAACCUGGCACUGUUUGGUGAUGUGUAUGACUUGCAGUUGAGACAAGAUUGUUUCUGUGUAAGAAACACUGAAAUAAGCAAUUGCAUUACAAAUAAGGUAUUGAUUACAAGGAAUUGAUUUCUCCAUGAUCAAGUUAAUGCAACAUCUCUAAACAGUAUAUUUUGGAUAUGCUUUAGAUGUUUAAAAAGUGUGUAGUUACAGAGCUAUGAGGAUAAGAUAGACUUUAUCAACAGACAUCCAAAUGCUGAUCUAAAAGACAUCAUCAAGUAGUUCUCCUUAAAUCUUCACAAAGGCAACAACAAUUUGUCUUAAACCUAAUUCUGCAAAUAUGUCAGUAUGAAAACCCAAAAUUAAUGGAGUUUGUUACAAAUUGAUAUUUUUUUCUAUAUUUGUUUCAUAAUUGCAAAUGAAGUCCUUUAAAUAACUUCCUACAUGGCAGAUUGGUUUCUACCACCCUUACAUGGCCUGUCAUCAAACAGUAAGAACUAGGAGCAUAUGUUAACCAUUGCCAGGAAUGAGGACUUCAGUGUAUGCAGUGGUGAACAUCCAACAGAGCACAUGACAAAUACCAUGGUUCAGAAGCAGAGGAGUAUAAAUGGAGAAGUAGAGGUCAUUGGAGGAUGUAGUUUGAAACAGUCUCUUUGCUGGGAUACUCUUUUUGUAUAAUUCUGUGGGAAUGGGAUUCAACCAACAGUGUUACAUUAAGAAAAACACAGGAAUACAAUGCCUGUUUCUUGAGAAUAAAUACAGUUUUGAC
ensembl:lncRNA